AAAUAUUAUAAAACCUUUAACAUGAGACGCGAAGAGCUAAUAAUAUAAUUGUCUAAAUUUCGGUAAUAAUGUGAAUAAUAAAAAAAUGUUCACUGCUCAAAUGACAACAGCUGGAAUUCAACUGAUUUUAUUGUCCCUUGAAAACAAAAAGAUUGUCUGACGUCAUGACCUGUCACGUGGCUACGAGCUAUUGGUCUGAACUGCCCACAGGUUACGUCGUCACAGUCAGUGCCCGGGCUCUCUAUAAUGAUAGGUCUAGCAUCUUGACUAUCAUGUCAGCAUAUGACGUCUCAUAAAGGCGAACCCUGCAGUUUGAGAAACGCUGAUAUAGAAAAUAACAUUUGCAAUGAAGUGUUUCUAGUCAAGCCAGAGGCCGAGGAAAGCUAUCACGUGACUGCCACUAGAAACCGGACACUCACACAGCGCCGAAUUACUGGACGUGUCGAACCGGUCAACAGCGUUGUCUCGGGGAUUGCACUGUAGUGAAUUCUGUGCCCUAAUGGCUCUCCGGUGACCUCGUGGACUGAAAGUGGACGAAACAUGACCCUCCUCUGCAAUAUCACCGUGUCCUGAAGUCAUCCAUAAAGUCAAGAAGAUGAGAACACAAAUAGAUCAAGAUACCGUAUGAUAAGUAUGUGGACACAAAUAGAUCAAGAUACCGUAUGAUAAGUAGCUUAGUUCUAAUACAGCUAGCAUAUGUUGACCAAGAAAAAACGCAGUUUUAUGACAUGUAUGCCGUAUAUGCUAAAGUGCUUUAGUUUGUCUAGAAAUAAGUUGUACUUAUGUAAAUGAGUAGUGAACCACAAUGAAAAUGUGUGCCACCAACAUCUCUGUAUAUAUAAUUCUGUACGUCGCCCAACCCGGGCAUGCUACACUGCCUCAUAGUGGCGCCUGGGUGAAAACGAUCGUAGGAGGAAACGAUUAGGCUAAAGGGUAGGAAAACAAGACUCCCGUGGGGGUGCCUCAUUGCACUGCGCGGAGUUGUAAAAAAGCUCCCACAACCAUUUCACAAUCCAGGCGCUGUUCCUCAAGGGGCCAUUACAUUAUAAAUGGCGUGUCCCGCACGGUUAGCCUGGUAUAGAAAAGAAAAAUGGCGAGGAUCUUAGUAGAUCUAUAGGCGGCCUCUUGCCGCGAGUCUGAUCCAUCCGCCAGACAAAACAGUGUACACUGUUUUCAUACAGGCCAGUGAGAGGGAGCUCUUGUUCUUUUUUGCUGGCCUAGAGUUCCAAGAGCUGAAGGCUCAACUCUACCUGACAGUUUAAGAAGAAGAAGAAGA